UUCCCUGCUGCCAGUUCAUAUAGUAAGCGUAGCAUGAAGCCACUAGUAUAAUACAGGUGAUCACAGUCCAUGGACAUAAGUUCAAGUGGUGAUUUUCAGAGAGGCUUCAUUUUUCAGAUGAGUAUGACUGAAAGGCUGCUGUUGAUAACAUGGAACAAUUCAGUACCUUUAAUGGUGCAAACAUUUACUGUUGUUCCCAAUGUUGAGCUGCGCUUCACCUGAGCUUAUUAGGUUCUCCCACAGGGAUGUGGACAAGAUCUGCUAACCUUGAACUGAGAACAAAUAAUGUAUAGUUUAAAACAGAAGCCUGGUAAAUAGGCCCUAGGGAAAGCUGCUGCACUGCAUGGGCAGAAAGAAAGAGAAGCAAGAGAAAAGGGAGAGAAGGGCUGAGAGAAGUGAGACCCAGAUCACAGACUGUAGGUUCUGUCCUGGCUUCAACAUUAACCAGUUUGCCUGACGCAAUGACCAGUGCUUAGCAGCUGCUUAAUAAAUGAAUGACCUCUUGUAAUUCUUUCAACCUAUUGACUGUAAUAUCCCCCAGUAUAUCUUCGUUUACACUCUCAAACUGUUAUGGUGAGAAUCAACAUAAAUGGUCUUGUAGAAAUACUCUGAGGACUAAGAAUGGUUCACGUAUUUCCAAAGAAAUUAUUAUCAUUAGCAUUAUUGCUAUAUACAGAAAAAGGCCAAUAAGAGUCAACAGUCAAUAAGUAAAAGAAUUAAAGAAUUCACCCAGGCUACUUUCUAUCACCCACUAAUUCAGAGAUAGAUGGAAACAUAGAUUUUAACCGGCCUUGCAAGUGACCAUUUGGACCAAACCAAGUGACUCAGCUCAAUAAGUUCAGAUCCCUAGAAAGUACUAGCCUGAAGGUGACCAUCCAAACACUGAACUCCAAAGGCGAAACCACAGGAAGCUCUGCAAGGUUCUAGGACUGGGAGAUGUGGGCUGAUACUAUUAAAAAGCCAGUCUUUGUUGAAGUGACCCCAAAUCUAGCCAUGCAGAACCUAAUAUCUAUCUU
rnacentral:lncRNA from 1 species